rnacentral:rRNA from 1 species
UAAGGAAUAUUGGUCAAUGGAGGCAACUCUGAACCAGCCAUGCCGCGUGCAGGAAGACUGCCUUAUGGGUUGUAAACUGCUUUUAUACGGGAAUAAACCUUAAUUCGUGAAUUAAGCUGAAUGUACCGUAAGAAUAAGGAUCGGCUAACUCCGUGCCAGCAGCCGCGGUAAUACGGAGGAUCCAAGCGUUAUCCGGAUUUAUUGGGUUUAAAGGGAGCGUAGGCGGCCUAUUAAGUCAGGGGUGAAAGACGAUGGCUCAACCAUCGCAGUGCCUUUGAUACUGAUGGGCUUGAAUAUAGUUGAGGUAGGCGGAAUGUGACAAGUAGCGGUGAAAUGCAUAGAUAUGUCACAGAACACCGAUUGCGAAGGCAGCUUACUAAGCUAUUAUUGACGCUGAGGCUCGAAAGCGUGGGGAUCAAACAGG